rnacentral:rRNA from 1 species
GAACGCUGGCGGCGUGCUUAACACUUGCAAGUCGAACGGAAAGGCCUUUUCGGAGGUACUCGAGUGGCGAACGGGUGAGUAACACGUGGGUGAUCUGCCCUGCACUCUGGGAUAAGCCUGGGAAACUGGGUCUAAUACCGGAUAGGACCGCACUUUAGUGUGUGUGGUGGAAAGUUUUUUCGGUGUAGGAUGAGCCCGCGGCCUAUCAGCUUGUUGGUGGGGUAAUGGCCUACCAAGGCGGCGACGGGUAGCCGGACUGAGAGGUUGGUCGGCCACAUUGGGACUGAGAUACGGCCCAGACUCCUACGGGAGGCAGCAGUGGGGAAUAUUGCACAAUGGGCGCAAGCCUGAUGCAGCGACGCCGCGUGGGGGAUGACGGCCUUCGGGUUGUAAACUCCUUUCGCCAGGGACGAAGCGUUUUGUGACGGUACCUGGAGAAGAAGCACCGGCUAACUACGUGCCAGCAGCCGCGGUAAUACGUAGGGUGCAAGCGUUGUCCGGAAUUACUGGGCGUAAAGAGCUCGUAGGUGGUUUGUCACGUCGUCUGUGAAAUUCCACAGCUUAACUGUGGGCGUGCAGGCGAUACGGGCUGACUUGAGUACUGUAGGGGUAACUGGAAUUCCUGGUGUAGCGGUGAAAUGCGCAGAUAUCAGGAGGAACACCGAUGGCGAAGGCAGGUUACUGGGCAGUUACUGACGCUGAGGAGCGAAAGCAUGGGUAGCAAACAGGAUUAGAUACCCUGGUAGUCCAUGCCAUAAACGGUGGGCGCUAGGUGUAGGGGCCUUUUGGGGUUUCUGUGCCGUAGCUAACGCAUUAAGCGCCCCGCCUGGGGAGUACGGCCGCAAGGCUA